AUUCGCGGGUCGUGGGGAGCGCCACUGUGUCAAUCCUCGUGGAUUUCCCAAGAUCCGUGAU
rfam:Crassostrea gigas strain 05x7-T-G4-1.051#20 contig11929, whole genome shotgun sequence.